rnacentral:rRNA from 1 species
AACGAACGCUGGCGGCAUGCCUAACACAUGCAAGUCGAACGAGACCUUCGGGUCUAGUGGCGCACGGGUGCGUAACACGUGGGAAUUUGCCUCGGGGUAGUGGAAUAACUCAGGGGAAAACGUUGAGCUAAUAACCAUAUAAUGUCUUCGGACCAAAGAUUUAUCGCCCUGAGAUAAGCCCGCGUAGGAUUAGCUAGUUGGUGGGGUAAAGGCUCACCAAGGCGACGAUCCUUAGCUGGUCUGAGAGGAUGAUCGGCCACACUGGGACUGAGACACGGCCCAGACUCCUACGGAGGCAGCAGUGGGGAA